rnacentral:rRNA from 1 species
GAAAGAGUUAAGUGUGAUAGACCCGAAACCGGGUGACCUAGCCAUGUCCAGGAUGAAGUGGAGGUAAAACUCCAUGGAGGUCCGAACCGACCCCCGUUGAAAAGGUGGCGGAUGAGGUGUGGCUAGCGGAGAAAUUCCAAUCGAACCCGGAUAUAGCUGGUUCUCCCCGAAAUAGCUUUAGGGCUAGCGUUGUAUAUAAUUGUCGGAGGUAAAGCACUGAAUGGGCUAGGGGCCGAGAGGUUACUGAACCCUAUCAAACUAAGAAUGCCGAGCAAUGUGAGUACAGCAGUCAGACAGUGUGAGAUAAGUCUCAUUGUCGAAAGGGAAAGAGCCCAGACCCACAGCUAAGGUCCCAAAAUUAAUUUAAGUGGAGAAGGAUGUGGGGUUGCAUAGACAACCAGGAUGUUGGCUUAGAAGCAGCCAUACAUUAAAAGAGUGCGUAAUAGCUCACUGGUCGAGUGACCCUGCGCCGAAAAUUCAACGGGGCUAAAAUUAAUACCGAAGCUUGGGCUUGAUGACUUGUCAUCAGGGGUAGGGGA